AUAACAAGUUAGUGAUGACAAAGGCCCGUGUUGGCCGAGUUCGAAAGAACUAUUCACUUAACUGACC
rnacentral:sRNA from 12 species